AAACCAAACCGAGCUAGUAUUAUUUAAUUUGAUUCAGUUCAGUUGGUUUUUAAUUAAAACAUAAUAGGGAUUAGGGAUUCUUAGAGCCAUAGUUGCUAGAUUCACUUAACCCCCUUGGGCUUGCGACCCAAAUCACAUGUGCCAAAUUGCUUGGGAACGCAUUCUAGGUUGACAAAUUGAGUGAUCCCAUUUCACUUGUUCAGCAAAAGAUU
rnacentral:misc_RNA from 1 species